rnacentral:lncRNA from 1 species
UGCGUGAGCAAGAUUGUCGAUGAUGGAUUGUACCUGCACAAACGUCACAUAAGAGGGAACCAUGGAAAAAUGCUGGAGUAGGCUGGAACGGCCCUGCUUCACACAGUAGUUCACCUGAAAGCUGGCGAGAAGGUGGGUUAUUGCCAAUUUUACCUCUAUUCCUGCCAAAAUCAACACACAAGAUGCUCCCAUUCUUCUAUUAGGAUCAACAGGCAAUACCUAGGGACGAUCCCAACCUAGGCGCAUGCUUGAUCAGAUGUAGUACUCCAUAUGUCUAUUGCCUGUGAAAUUGCUGGUGUUUUACAGUCUCAAGCCUUUGUUUCUGCAGCUCGUUUCGGAUUUGGGCAGGCCAUAUCCUGGAGCAACACAUGGUAGUGGGCAGACUGAAGAAGCGCAUGCAAAUAUGGAUCAGCGCAGCUGAGACCCAGUGAUGGUGUGCGCAGGUCGUGUCAUUGGACUUUGGUCCGGUAGGAGAGGCAGACGUGACAGCCAAUCUGAUGGAGGCAGUGCCCUGCAGCCUGGCGCUGCAUGAUCCAGCUGAGCUGCCAGAAGACACUGCUGCGCUGCCCUUCCUGCACAUCAAAGUGCCACACCACCCUGCCGAGUCUGCCAUUCUUUCCCAGGUUGGCAUCCUGCUCCCUUGUGUCUCAAAUGGAGAGGGCAAGCAACCUGCACUUCACAAGGCUGUGCAUUGUUUAGAACGUGGAAAGGCAGGAAUGACUCUCUGCGCGGCAAUCAUGCCCAGUGCUACUGCAAAGCCCUACAAAAAUUUCCCUGCAAAGUGUCCAUAUGGAGGACCUCAUUCCUGCAAAGUGUCCAUCUAUAGAAAGGUUUUAUGCCAGUCUGCAUGGGUCUUCAUGGCUUAUGGCUGCGUGCAGGCUGUGGAGUUUGCUCAGUCGCGGCAGUACCACGCGUUCACAAACAACUGCAUCCAGAACACAGACUUCUUUAUUCGGGCGCUGACGGGCGGCGCAGUCAGAAAUGCUCCUCUCGUGCAUGACGCAUUGUGCGGGCAUGUGCCGGCACAAGACAACCCCAUGCUCGUCAUGUUCAUGCUGAUGACUGGAUUCUCCUGGUGCGCCUUCGUUUCUCACCCUGCCGCCUUCAAAGUCACAGCUCUGCACCUUCUAACUUCAGACAUGUUGAUAGGACAUGGGCCUUAAGUGGUAAUGAUGUGCAGAACAACAUGAUCACGGGUGACAGAGUUUGAUUGGAUGUCAAAUUUAAGUCUCUCCACUGCAUGUACAUAUGGCGUUAGGACACGCUGUCAGAUAUGCGAAAGAGAUUCAUUAAUUUUAGAGACAAGAUCAGGAUUAGCAAAGUAACUCCACAAUGAGGUCACGGUGCUGGUGCCCACUGUCGCUGCGUGAGGCAAGCUUACUGUGUGUGUGUGUGAGAGAGAGAGAGAGAGAGAGAAAGAGAGAGAGAAACAUUACAUCGUGCCAGCCAACAAGGCUGAUUAGAUGUCCACUGUAUCUGCCCAUUAUUUAGAGGUUAUGUUUGAGGCUGCGAGUUAUGACUAUUGUGGGACAAGCUGACAAGGACUGCUGCUGAUUGCAGGUUUGAUGUCUGCGAUGGAAGCCAGGCGGCUGCAGCCUUCUUGCGGGAGCACGCCAAGCCUGCCAUGCCUAAGUGAGGAGUGGGUCCAAGUGAUGAGGAGGACCGCUUCUGAGAAUCUUUUGAGGAGAGUGUAAACGACAUUCAUUACUUUAUCUGUGAAGAUCAUGGUUCUGUCGAGAGAGUAAAGGUUGUGAAUUUGCACAUGUCCAGGUGCAUAACGGAUAAUUUCAACUCAUUGCUAUUGCGGCUGGUGCAGCUUGUUACAGCAAGCAUGUACGGACUCAUUUGGUAAUACGUAAUGUUGCAAAUUGAUUGCAAUUGCGCUUUGCAGGUUGCACCUGCAAUCAGUUGCUCAGUGCUCGCCCAGCACAGUAUGUAACGCUGAGCUGGCAUUCAUCUUCAAUAUAUAUGGCCCCAUCCUGGAAGCGAUUCACUUCCAGGAUGGGGCCACUGUCCUCUGCCCUGCUGUGAGUCUUACAUAGAUUUGCCGGAGUUCAAUCGGAUAAAUGAUCACCAUGCUUCAAAGAAGUUGCUCACCGUGCUCACUGGAGAGGACCGAUAUGGUCGCGUGGUUGCCAAAGAGGAAGCUCAAGAACCUGCACCCAGCAUAAGAAAUUGAUCUAAAAGACCUUGCUUUGCUACAACGUAAUAAGCAUCACUUGCAACGCUACUAUGGGAAAGCGCUUGAGCCAAGUGAAAGCAACAAUCCGUCGUCGCCAAAUAUUAACACCGAGUGGCCCAUGCCCGAUCUCAAUUUCCUUUCAUACUGUAAUUUAAAAUUUCUGGCACGUCAAUAUGUGAAGGUAACUCACUUCGCACUUCACGUAUGUCUAUAAUUAAAUGACACUGGGAGCUAUGAGCAGCACCUCUCUAGGGCUUCCCGAAGCGUUGAAACCUAUGUGACUACGAGGCCAAAAGGAGUUCAAUAUGAGGCAAUAUCAAUUAUACUGUGAUGUACUAUAGUGAGAAAAGCCUGAAUCGCUGACAUUGUGGCCCGAAGCAGAGCCAACCACAACCCCGGUACUGGAGGUAGAUGAACCAGAUAAUCUAUAGCGCAGUCUGCGCCUGAGGCAUUUAUAAGCUAAACGAUCUACAGCAUCAGAACUCGAUCCGGGAGCCGUUUGACUGCAAGUGGAAAGCAUACGUGAAGAAAUAAGUGUGUCGCGAUUGUGAGGCCGAAAAAUAUCUGAGGUCCGGGCAGCCUUGAGGGCCUAUAUAGAAGCUGACUUAUAAAACGAGGGUCUUGAGGUGAGGACAUUCAAUUCACCCUCGGACAGGUUGCAGAACGUUUUCUUGGGCUACUGUAUCGAGCCUAAACGAAGUCCAUAUGCCCUUCGGAUAAGACUUAGUCAGCCACGCAUCUUCAAGGUCUGCAGCUAGGUCACCUCUGUGCAAUAAAGUUUUGACCAUGGCAAAGCGAAGGUGAGCAGGCAGUGCAGUCACGUGAUUGAAUGCACUUGCAAUGGUACACAUGUAAACGAAAAGUUUCAAAGCGCAGAAAAGAACUGGACAGUACAGGAAAGAACCCGCAUUGGGGAUACCCUGUCUCAAGUUCACUAUUUGAAUGUCUUUGCAGACCGGGGGGCUACUGGACUUCACUUUCAUGUUUGCCAACCUUCGCAAUGUUGCUGGCGAUAAUGAAGACCAAAGACAUAGGUGAUGCUUUGUACCGCAGUGACUGCUCAUGAAGCCGUUAGUAUGGAAAACACUUGACGGGACGUUCGGGGUAUCGCUAGGUGCUUUUGCUGUGGAGUAUGAGAACGUUCUGAACUCGACGGCUGUUCAAGGUGCGCCUACUUAUCCUGUGCGGAUAUUUAAACAAGACUGAAGAAUGGCUCUGGCCAUUCCUUUACCAAAACCCUGAUGCUGAAGUGAGUUUUGGUGGUUUCUUCUUACUUCUUGGCACAUGUUUGUACUGCACACGGUUCUCAAAUAUCCUCGUGAAUGGCCCAGGCAUCGAUGGAUUUUUCCCAGCAAGCAAGGCCUACGUCCUUGCUCAGAACAAGCAUCUCGAGUAUGAGCUUCAAUCUUUGAAGACCACUGUUGCUCAACUGGCUGCCGAGAAUCAGCAAGAACAGAGCAUAAUCAAUAAUUUGGUGGAAAAAGUCAACUCCUUCACUCCAGUAAGUUUUGUCACAUCGUGUAUGAAUUCUCAUGCGUCCAUUAAUUAACUUGCUGCAGGAACCCAUGCUGCAAUUGCUGCGAUUUGUCGAAGGACAAGCAUUAUGUGCACGUAUAAAACGCAGGGUCUCAAUGGAACAGAUGGUAUCAAUGGCUUCAAUGGAACUGCAGGUAUGUCACUACCCAUAGAAGUUGUUGUUGUUACUGUUAUUGCUCCACUCUGCAUUCAUCCAUAUGCUGCGGGAUGGAGCUCAUUUGCAACAGGUUUCUGACACACUUUCUUGUGCAUGUCCUACAGGACCCACAGGGGCCACUGGCCUUACUGGUGCGACUGGAGGCACCGGCCCAACUGGCGGCACCGGCCCAACAGGUGUGCUCCCUGGCUGAGUGCAAUGAAAGCACAUGGCUCAAAUGCAAGCUUCUAUGUGAGUCUGCAAAGUGACCGGCUCCGAAGAGAGAUCUGAAUUCCAGCAUGGACAACAAUUGCACUGCCUGCCUGCCUGCGCUUCCCUUAUAAAGUCACGUGAGACUAAAAUACAGUGUGCUGCGCAUCUCAUUUGCAUGCAGCAUGCAUGCAUGCUGUAUGGUCAGAAUAGGCAAGAAUUAUCGUGUUCAGAAAGCUACCAUGCGUACCUUGAAUGCUGUUUUUUCUUGCUGUAGCCUACGCCAAUACCAAAGAGUUUUUCGUUACAUUGUGGUAUUCUGCAGGUGGAACGGGCGUAGGAGUGAUAACCGCAGGUGUGUUCCUGCCAGUGGUUUCUGUUAUGAUUAUCUUUGGCAUGUAACAGGCUUCUUUAGCUAGCAAAUGUGUCACUGCUUCAACAGAUGCACCUUUAGCACAGAAUACCUGAAGCCUCUGCAAUCCUUAGAGGCCACAUGAGGUGUCAAAGAUGAAGCGAAGCACCCAAGUCAAAGCAUUGCACCUUGCAAUUGCCUUGAUAAGGGUGAUGACUCAUUGGGCAUGCAUGCAUGCAGCGCAAGAGCUCAUCACCUUCGACGUCAACGAGAACGGCUCAAAUCUGCCUGCGGAAAAUCAAUUCGGCGCCCGCACAUCUUUCUUCAACCUCAGAUUUGGGUACGGCUUUGGGACUGUGGAGAAUGGCGGCGGAACAUGGUCGCGACCUGACAACACCUACCGCAUUGUGCCUGAGUCCCCGCCGAACGUUGCCGUGUGGUCACCGACUGGACCCGCCACCAUCCAGCCGGCACCAACUGUCGUCAGCUUUGCCCUCAACAGCAUCUAUGUUGGCUACCUCCAAGCCUCUGAAGCGCCCGCCGCCGCCCCUGUCGUCAUCACAGGCUACCUACAGACGAUCGCUGUGGCAGCGUGCUCUUACACAGUGGCCCCAACGGCAGGCCAGCCACCCACGCUGGUGACGACGCCCGGGUGCGGGAAUGUGGACCAGAUCGAGAACACAGACAACAACGGCCAAUAUUUUUUCAUUGACAAUAUGGAUGUCACACUUUUUAAGCUGUCCUAUGCCUGAGGUGCCCAUCCGCUUUUGUUUCCGAAGUUUGGAAUGGAGUAUUUGGAGCAGGUGCCGGAGGCAGACCUUUUGACUUAGCAGCUGCUGGGGAAAAUAUUUGGACACUUAGAACGAUGUCCUAAAACAAUUGCCGAAGUGCUGGGCACUCAUUUGAAUGUGAGAAACCAAGCUCUAGAGUGGAAAGAAGCAGAGAGCAGCUGCUGGAAAGGUUUUCUUAUUAAUUUUCAAAUACUUGGAAUGAAGUCUUGGGGCAGCUGCUGAAAGCAUCUGCUGGGGAGAUUAUUUGGACACUUGGAACGAUAUUCUGGAAGAACUGCCGAAAUCUAGUGCUGGGCACUCAAUUGAAAGUUGGAAAGAAAAACUCUGGAGCGGGCCCGGGAAGAAGCAGAGAGCAGCUGCUGGAAAGGUUUUCUUUAUAAUUUUCAAUAACAUGGAAUGAAGUCUUGGGGCAGCUGCUGAAAGCAUUUGCUGGGGAGAGUCUUGAGAGCUAAAAUGGGGUUCAAAAACACCGUUCCAGCAGCUGUGACAGCUUUUUUUGACAUUUGCAGGAAGCUGCAGGAAGCAGAUGCUGCCUGAGUACGUCUACAUAGUAUGUGCAGAGGAGAACUUCCCCACAGCUCCCCGGGUUCUCACAGCGCAAUUUGGCAACUGAUCAGACGAUAUCUUGGUGAUCGACCCACUAGUUGGCAUGUUUGUCAAGUGCCAGCAUUUGACAUCAGGCAUUAAAAGUCCGUCUAAUGCUGCAGGGACUUGAUCUUCUCAUCCUUCCCUGCUCCCGGCCUCCACUUUCCCAACUCCGUCUGCAGCAUGUUCAGAGCCUGUUGCUUCAUGGCUCCUGCAUUGCGCACCUCCAGGUUCCAGCUGGUUCACAUGCGCCCACACCUUCCGAAGGUCUCCGGAAUCCGCAUGUAACCGAAAGUAGCCUUGAAAGUUCUGAUGCACCUUGCCUCUCAGGCACCGGUGCCUCCCUUGGCCGCAGCGGCUCAUCAAAGCUUGCGUGAUCUUUGUUAAACAGGUACUACUUAGUAAGUGCCUGCAUGCAUGCGGCUAAUGGAGGGUGACAAAGAGGGGGAUGCUGUGAAGAGUUUUGAAACAGCCCCCCGCUGAGCUGGGAUCCAGUGAUGCACUGCUCACCAGACAGGCCACAUGAUUCACAAGGCAGAGAAAUCUUAUCAUUCAUGGUUUCAAGUGAGUGACGUAGUGCUGAUGCAUUGCCUGAUGUCAGUCCAGACUCUGUGUGAGUCACUCCAGAGGAUGACUGUUUGUGAGGGUUGUGGUCACGUGCGGAUUGUAACGCAGCUCUGUCAUCGACAUAAAUGACAUGACGAUUCUCGGCAUAGAAAGGGAUCUCGGGGUAUGCGCACGCACAUCCAAUGUCUCGCUUCAAAUUUCUCCUAGUCUUGCUUGUCAGCGCCACCAGAAGCGGCGGUGAGUGCCGCAACAUCAACAUUGAACCCACAGGGCCCUUGAUAUCUUCACACGUUCCCUGGACAAGCAAUCGGGCUUAGACCGGAUGCACAUUAGUAUAUAUUGGCUGAAACGAGAUUGCUGAUUGUCGCCAACUGAAAGGGGUGUCGGCAACGAGUUUGUGACUGGCUUAAAUGAAACCCUUGCGCGUCAGCUUCUAGACCUCGCUUCCCCUAAAAUGUGUAUUUCGAUCGUGCAACCCUCGCAAGAAAACUUUUGUUACUUAAAAGGGUAGGAUCCAAAGACUGCAGUUCUUGGACAGAAUUGUUUCAUUGCUGCGAUCAGGAUGCUGACGGAAGCUCUCUUCUUGACGUGGCGCGAUCAGGAGCAAGGAAAGUUCGAAACGCAGCCCCAACUUCCUGGACAGAAGGAGCUGCCAUUCCAUAUCAGAAGCUUGGGUCUUGAUCACCGUCAAACAUCCCAAACAUGGCUCCUGCAAGUGAUGUAUGCGUGGAACGGGAUGUGCAACCAAUGGCGGCCGCUACUGCGGUCCACAGCGCCGUCCAGCAGAAGUGCUUGACUGCUGAUGCUGUUCCGGAUGCUUUCGCAACACCGAUCAUGCGACCAACCUUUGGCGAAUCUAUGUAAGUAUUCUGAACACAAGCUUAUAUAGCGUUCGAUGUGGUUUGAUGGGCCUUCUUGAGUUCGAAACCCCUGAUCUUGCUUUCUAGAAUGUUCUUUGGGAAGCUGUUGGCGUUGCCACAGCGAUGAUGUCAUCGACCCAUCCGUUCGACUUUUAUGUCUCUACUGUGGUGUCAAAAGUGAUAUAAUGACAGCAGAAAUCCUUGCAGGCACCAAUUUCUGGAGCAGCUCAGACCCACCUUGGACACCAGCCAGUUUGCCUGCGUGAGCAAGAUUGUCGAUGAUGGAUUGUACCUGCACAAACGUCACAUAAGAGGGAACCAUGGAAAAAUGCUGGAGCAGGCUGGAACGGCCCUGCUUCACACAGUAAUUUACCUGAAAGCUGGCGAGAAGGUGGGUUAUUGCCAAUUUUACCUCUAUUCCUGCCAAAAUCAACACACAAGAUGCUCCCAUUCUUCUAUUAGGAUCAACAGGCAAUACCUAGGGACGAUCCCAACCUAGGCGCAUGCUUGAUCAGAUGUGGUACUCCA